rnacentral:rRNA from 1 species
CGGACGGGUGAGUAAUGCUUGGGAAUCUGGCUUAUGGAGGGGGAUAACUACGGGAAACUGUAGCUAAUACCGCGUAGUAUCGGAAGAUGAAAGUGUGGGACCGCAAGGCCACAUGCCAUAAGAUGAGCCCAAGUGGGAUUAGGUAGUUGGUUGGGUAAAGGCUGACCAAGCCGAUGAUCUCUAGCUGGUCUGAGAGGAUGACCAGCCACACUGGAACUGAGACACGGUCCAGACCCCUACGGGAGGCAGCAGUGGGGAAUAUUGCACAAUGGGGGGAACCCUGAUGCAGCCAUGCCGCGUGAAUGAAGAAGGCCUUCGGGUUGUAAAGUUCUUUCGGUGAUGAGGAAGGUGCUUGUUUUAAUAGAACAAGCAAUUGACGUUAGUCACAGAAGAAGCACCGGCUAACUCCGUGCCAGCAGCCGCGGUAAUACGGAGGGUGCGAGCGUUAAUCGGAAUAACUGGGCGUAAAGGGCACGCAGGCGGUGACUUAAGUGAGAUGUGAAAGCCCCGAGCUUAACUUGGGAAUUGCAUUUCAUACUGGGUCGCUAGAGUACUUUAGGGAGGGGUAGAAUUCCACGUGUAGCGGUGAAAUGCGUAGAGAUGUGGAGGAAUACCGAAGGCGAAGGCAGCCCCUUGGGAAUGUACUGACGCUCAUGUGCGAAAGCGUGGGGAGCAAACAGGAUUAGAUACCCUGGUAGUCCACGCUGUAAACGCUGUCGAUUUGGGGAUUGGGCUUUGAGCUUGGUGCCCGUAGCUAACGUGAUAAAUCGACCGCCUGGGGAGUACGGCCGCAAGGUUAAAACUCA